rnacentral:rRNA from 1 species
AGGACGAACGCUGGCGGCGUGCCUAACACAUGCAAGUCGAACGAGGUCCAUGAGAGCUUGCUCUCGGAAGACCUAGUGGCGAACGGGUGAGUAACACGUGAACAACCUGCCCUGGAAUCUGGGAUAACCCGAGGAAACUCGAGCUAAUACCGGAUACCUUCCUCUGAUCGCAUGGUCGGAGGAAGAAAGAAUUUCGUUCCAGGAGGGGUUCGCGGCCUAUCAGCUUGUUGGCGGGUAACGGCCCACCAAGGCUUCGAC